rnacentral:rRNA from 1 species
ACGCUCGACACCUACGGGAGGCAGCAGUGGGGAAUAUUGCACAAUGGGGGAAACCCUGAUGCAGCGACGCCGCGUGGAGGAAGAAGGUCUUCGGAUUGUAAACUCCUGUUGUUGGGAAAAAGAGGAUGUACCCAACAAGGAAGUGACGGCUAACUACGUGCCAGCAGCCGCGGUAAUCUGAGCGGGCUGGCAAGGC